AACCAUAGAAACCUGCGGAGUACCUGCGGAGGGAUCAUUACAGAGUUGCAAAACUCCCUAAACCAUUGUGAACGUUACCUAAACCGUUGCUUCGGCGGGCGGCCCGGGUCUUUCCCGGCGCCCCUCGGCCCUCGCGGGCGCCCGCCGGAGGUAAACCAAACUAUUGCAUUGUAUGGCCUCUCUGAGUCUUCUGUACUGAAUAAGUCAAAACUUUUAACAACGGAUCUCAGAUCGGAAGAG
rnacentral:misc_RNA from 1 species